rnacentral:rRNA from 1 species
UUUUGGACAAUGGGCGAAAGCCUGAUCCAGCAAUGCCGCGUGCAGGAAGAAGGCCUUCGGGUUGUAAACUGCUUUUGUACGGAACGAAACGGUCUGCCCUAAUACGGCGGGCUAAUGACGGUACCGUAAGAAUAAGCACCGGCUAACUACGUGCCAGCAGCCGCGGUAAUACGUAGGGUGCGAGCGUUAAUCGGAAUUACUGGGCGUAAAGCGUGCGCAGGCGGUUAUGUAAGACAGUUGUGAAAUCCCCGGGCUCAACCUGGGAAUCGCAUCUGUGACUGCAUAGCUAGAGUACGGUAGAGGGGGAUGGAAUUCCGCGUGUAGCAGGAAAUGCGUAGAUAUGGGAGGAACACCGAGGGCGAGGGCAAUCCCCUGGACCUGACUGACGCUGCAGGCACGAAA